rnacentral:tRNA from 1 species
GGUAAAAUAGAAUAAAAAGUUCGUUUCAUUUACACUGAAAAAGUCUGUUGUAGUGGUUUUACUU